UACGAAGGGGGCUAGCGUUGCUCGGAAUCACUGGGCGUAAAGCGCGCGUAGGCGGAUCGUUAAGUCGGGGGGUGAAAUCCUGGAGCUCAACUCCAGAACUGCCUUUGAUACUGGCGAUCUUGAGUCCGGGAGAGGUGAGUGGAACUCCGAGUGUAGAGGUGAAAUUCGUAGAUAUUCGGAAGAACACCAGUGGCGAAGGCGGCUCACUGGCCCGGUACUGACGCUGAGGCGCGAAAGCGUGGGGAGCAAACAGG
rnacentral:rRNA from 1 species